GAUCCUGGCUCAGAAUCAACGCUGGCGGCGUGCCUAACACAUGCAAGUCGCACGAGAAAGCGGGCUUCGGCCUGCAAGUACAGUGGCGCACGGGUGAGUAACACGUGAAUUAUCUACCUCCGAGUGGGGAAUAACCUAGAGAAAUCUGGGCUAAUACCGCAUAACACUUACGAGUCAAAGCAGCAAUGCGCUUGGAGAGGAGUUCGCGGCAGAUUAGUUAGUUGGCAGGGUAAUGGCCUACCAAGACGAUGAUCUGUAUCCGGCCUGAGAGGGCGCACGGACACACUGGAACUGAAACACGGUCCAGACUCCUACGGGAGGCAGCAGUGGGGAAUUUUGCGCAAUGGGGGAAACCCUGACGCAGCAACGCCGCGUGGAGGAUGAAAUCCCUUGGGAUGUAAACUCCUUUCGAUCGGGACGAUUAUGACGGUACCGGAAGAAGAAGCCCCGGCUAACUUCGUGCCAGCAGCCGCGGUAAUACGAGGGGGGCAAGCGUUGUUCGGAAUUAUUGGGCGUAAAGGGCGCGUAGGCGGUUUGACAAGUCUGAUGUGAAAUCUCUGGGCUCAACCCAGAGUCUGCAUUAGAAACUGUCGGGCUUGAGUAUGGGAGAGGUGAGUGGAAUUUCCGGUGUAGCGGUGAAAUGCGUAGAUAUCGGAAGGAACACCUGUGGCGAAAGCGGCUCACUGGACC
rnacentral:rRNA from 1 species